rnacentral:rRNA from 1 species
AUUCCCCCAGUAGCUGCGAGCGAACAGGGAUGAGCCCAGCACUGAAUCCCGCGGCCGACACCGGCCGCCGGGAGAUGUGGUGUUAGGGAGGACUCAUUAUCCCGCGGUUGUGCCGGCGCGUCCAAGUCCUUUUUGAACGGGGCCACAGCCCAGAGAGGGUGCCAGGCCCGUAGUGACCGCCGCCAGUCGUGGGAGAGUCUCUCCUCAGAGUCGGGUUGCUUGAGAGUGCAGCCCUAAGUGGGUGGUAAACUCCAUCUAAGGCUAAAUAUGACCACGAGACCGAUAGCGAACAAGUACCGUGAGGGAAAGUUGAAAAGCACUUUGUAGAGAGAGUUCAAGAGUACGUGAAACCGUUCAGGGGUAAACCUGAGAAACCCGAAAGGUCGAAGGGGGAAAUUCAAUCGUGCCCGCUCCAUGGCUGCGUGCGGCCCGGUAGUGGGCGGUGGCAGCGUGCUUGCACGUGCGCCCCGUCCGCACUGGCCGUGCGCGGUACUCCGUGGGCGAGUGCGUGCACUUUUCCCCUAGUAGAACGUUGCGAUCCGUUGGGCGUCGGUCUAAGGCCCGCAGUGGAGACCGAGCGUGGCGCACGGUGGUGGCUCUCGUGGCCCCGCUGUUGUGCUCGCGUUCGGACCUGUGGUGUUUCCCGGCCGGCUCGCCCGACGGUAUACAGAUGGCGCGGGGCCGCAAACUAAAUUUGCGUUCGGCCCGCGGCAAGCGCACGGUGCGCGUCGGUGAUCGGACCCAGUGCCGUUCCCGGCCGCCUGUGUCUGUUGGCCGCGGUGCUCUCGGACAGACCCUCUUAUGAGACGCCGAUCGGCAGCGAUAUAGAUUUGGGUACUUUCAGGACCCGUCUUGAAACACGGACCAAGGAGUCUAGCAUGUGCGCGAGUCAUUGGGACACAAAUAAACCUAACGGCGCAAUGAAAGUGAAUGUUCGCCUCGUGCGAACCGAGGGAGGAUGGGCGGUGUCUAGCUAGCAAAGCGGCCGCUCCGCACUCCCGGGGCGUCUCCAUCUCAUUGCGAGAGGAGGCGCACCAAGAGCGUACACGCUGGGACCCGAAAGAUGGUGAACUAUGCCUGGUCAGGACGAAGUCAGGGGAAACCCUGAUGGAGGUCCGUAGCGAUUCUGACGUGCAAAUCGAUCGUCGGAACUGGGUAUAGGGGCGAAAGACUAAUCGAACCAUCUAGUAGCUGGUUCCCUCCGAAGUUUCCCUCAGGAUAGCUGGCGCUCAUUGCGCACGAGUCUCUUCCGGUAAAGCGAAUGAUUAGAGGCAUUGGGGUCGAAACGACCUCAACCUAUUCUCAAACUUUAAAUGGGUGAGAUCUCCGGCUUGCUCGAAUAUGUGAAGCCGUGAGACACGGAUCAGAGUGCCAAGUGGGCCAUUUUUGGUAAGCAGAACUGGCGCUGUGGGAUGAACCAAACGCCGAGUUAAAGCGCCUAAAUCGACGCUUAUGGGAUACCAUGAAAGGCGUUGCUAACUUAAGACAGCAGGACGGUGGCCAUGGAAGUCGGAAUCCGCCAAGGAGUGUGUAACAACUCACCUGCCGAAGUUACUAGCCCUGAAAAUGGAUGGCGCUGAAGCGUCGUGCUUAUACUCGGCCGUCAGCGGCAUGUGCGGUCGCGGUGGUCGUCGCUCUUGUGGCGGCGGCGCCGGGCCAUCAAGCCCUGACGAGUAGGAGGGUCGCGGCGGUGAGCGCAGAAGGGCUGGCCGUGAGGCCGUCUGGAGCCGCCGUCGGUGCAGAUCUUGGUGGUAGUAGCAAAUACUCCAGCGAGGCCCUGGAGGACUGACGU